rnacentral:SRP_RNA from 1 species
GCUGGGUGUGGUAGUGCAUGCCUGUAGUCCCAGCUACUGGGGAGGCUGAGGUGGGAGGAUAACUUGAGCCCAGGAAGUCGAGGCUGCAGUGAGCCUAGAUCAUGCUAUUGCAAUCCAGCCUGGGCAACAAAGUGAGACCCUGUCUCAA